AUGGUGCAACUUCUGUGGCUCAGCCUUUUCUUGUUAGCCUACAAUUUUUAUAAGGAUAAACAUUCUUAUUCUAUCCAAAGUGCUUUAAUUGUUGGAGAUUACAAGGGGGCAGUUGCACAGUGCAUAUCUGCAAAUAAAAUGGCUGAUGCUUUAGUUAUUGCUAAUGUUGGUGGUGCAUUUUUGUGGGAAAGCACACGGGAUCAAUACUUUAAGAUUAGCCGAUCACCAUACCUAAAGGUUGUUUCUGCAAUGGUGAACAAUGAUCUCUUGAGCCUUGUAAAUACAAGGCCCCUGAAAUUCUGGAAAGAAACACUUGCUCUUCUCUGUAGUUUUGCACAGAGAGAGGAAUGGACUAUGCUCUGUGACACACUUGCUUCGAAACUCAUGACUGCUGAUAACACGUUGGCUGCUACUCUUUGUUAUAUAUGUGCGGGAAAUAUUGAUAAAAUAGUGGAAAUUUGGUCAAGGAGUCUUAGAACUGAGCACGAAGGGAAAUCCUAUGUUGAGCUUCUUCAGGAUUUGAUGGAAAAGACUAUUGUCCUUGCCUUGGCAACUGGGCAGAAGCGAUUUAGUGCAUCUUUGUGUAAGCUUGUUGAAAAAUAUGCUGAAAUUGUAGCAAGUCAAGGGCUUUUAACAACAGCAAUGGAGUACCUUAAACUUUUGGGCUCUGAUGAAUUGUCACCUGAACUUGUGAUCUUAAGGGAUCAAAUUGCACUCGCUACAGAACCUGAGAAAGAAGCCAGGGCUAUGCCUCUUGAAAACUCUCAAACACAAAGUGCAGCAGUGUAUGGUGCUGAUCAAUCCAAUUAUGGCUAUGAUACCUCUCAAACAUAUUAUCAGGAAACUGCGCCAUCACAAAUGCAGCCUAGUGUUCCCAGCAGUCCAUAUGGUGGAAAUUAUCAACCUCCCUCAAGUUCUCCUUAUGGAGCAUACGGAACUCCUGCUCCCUAUCAGCCCCCAAAUAUAUUCCUUCCAUCACGGACACCUUCCCAGCCAAAUUUUGCUGCACCUCCCGUUACUGCGCCUGUUGCGAGGCCCUUUAUUCCCACAACUCCUACUAUGUUGAAAAAUGUAGGGCAAUAUCAGCAGCCCACAUUGGGUUCUCAGUUGUAUCCUGGAACUGCUAACCCUACUUAUCAACCUGUACCAUCUGGGAAUGUUCCAGCUGCCCCUAUUACAUCACAACCAGGCUCAGUUCCUGGCCAUACAAUGCCACAUGUUGUAGCUCCCACCCCAUCCCUGAAGGGAUUUAUGCCAGUUAAUUCAGCGGUUGUUCAAAGAUCUGGUAUGGGUUCAAUGCAACCACACAGUCCCACUCAGGCAGCAUCAGUGCAACCCACCAUAACACCUGCAGCUCCACCACCUACCGUACAGACAGUUGAUACUUCAAAUGUACCAGUGCACCAAAAAUCUGUCAUUGCAACAUUGACAAGACUUUUCAAUGAGACAUCAGAAGCACUGGGAGGUUAACGUGCAAAUCCAGCAAAGAAGCGUGAAAUAGAAGACAAUUCAAGGAAAUUGGGUGCCUUGUUUGCAAAACUCAACAGUGGGGACAUAUCGAAAAAUGCUUCCGAUAAGCUUGUUCAGCUCUGCCAGGCUCUGGAUGGUGGCGAUUUCAGUACUGCUCUUCAAAUCCAGGUACUACUUACGACUAGUGAGUGGGAUGAGUGCAACUUCUGGCUAGCUACACUAAAGCGAGUGAUCAAGACAAGGCAGAAUGUCAGAAUAAAUUAACGAAGGCACGGGGAAUCGUUCUAAGAUCUGUUUCCUGGAUUGGAAUUUUUUCACCUAUGUGGGUAUCUUCUCGGAGAAAUAAUCUUUUCUUCAAUGUACACAAGACUGGCUUCUAUAGAUUGCAGCUUUAGGAAUUUGGUUCUU